CACCGGAUCCCAUCAGAACUCCGAAGUUAAGCGUGCUUGGGCGAGAGUAGUACUAGGAUGGGUGACCUCCUGGGAAGUCCUCGUGUUGCACCCCU
rnacentral:rRNA from 22 species